CAAAAGUGCUUGGUCACAAGUUGGUUUUCUCUAUUUUUAUAUGUGUAUUUUUUUUUUAUUACAAAAGCAGUCCUUGAAUACAUCCACUAUUUUGAAAAGGUUUGUACAAGUAAAAUUUAAAGUCUCUCUUCCCUUUCUCCCCCCUCAUCUCCACUUCUGUCCUUGAAGUAACCACUGUUUACAGUUUGAUAUUUAUCCUUCUAGAACUUUCCCCAUGCAUUUGCAUAUCUGUGUGUAUGUCGUUUUUUAAAAACAAGUAGGCUCCUCUUGAAUAUUGAUCUGUAACAUGCUUUUUCCCACUUAACCAUGUAUCUUGGAGAUCUUUCCACAUCUUUCUAUGGGUCUGCCUCAUUCUCUUUAAUGGCCACAAGGGUUAAGGAUACGUGUAAUAGAUUUUGACCAUUCCCUGAUUGAUGGUGUUUAUGUUAUUUCCGAAUUCUUGCUAUUACAAGCAUGUUGGCAGUGAAUACCCUCAGGGCUCAUGUAGUAACAGCAUGUCUGCCUGAAAAGCGAGACUCUGGGUCAGAAAGAUGGAGAAACUGAGAUGUAAGGAGGUUAAGUGACUUGUCCAAGGUCACACGGGAAGAGGCUGAGCCAAGAUUCAAAGUCUGACUUCACAGUACUGGUUCUGCUCUAUCAUGGGAAGUGUCUCCAACAUAGAUGAGGAGAGGGCAGCCAGUGAACUCACGGACGUCAGUGGCUGGGGCAUCUAUCUUGAGCU
rnacentral:lncRNA from 1 species